rnacentral:rRNA from 1 species
AACAAAAUCUAGCCCAAACACAAUCUACUAAAACUACCAUACAACUAAUAAACCAAAACAUUUAAUUAUACAGUCAAAGUAUAGGAGAUAGAAAUACUAUUUUGGAGCUAUAGAGAAAGUACCGUAAGGGAAUGAUGAAAGACUAUUAAAAGUACUAAACAGCAAAGAUUAGCCCUUAUACCUUUUGCAUAAUGAGCUAGCUAGAAAUAAACUUAACAAAGAGAACUUAAGCUAAGUAUCCCGAAUCCAGACGAGCUACCUAUGAACAAUUUUAAAGAAUGAACUCAUCUAUGUAGCAAAAUAGUGAGAAGAUUUAUAGGUAGAGGUGAAAAGCCUAACGAGCCUGGCGAUAGCUGGUUGCCCAGAACAGAAUUUUAGUUCAACUUUAAAUUUACCCAAAAACCCAAAAAUUUUAAUGUAAAUUUAAAUUAUAAUCUAAAAAGGUACAGCUUUUUAGAUAAAGGAUACAGCCUUAUCUAGCGAGUAAACUAUUUAAAAUUCAUAGUAGGCCUAAAAGCAGCCACCAAUUAAGAAAGCGUUCAAGCUCAACAACCUAAUACUAUUAAUACCUAAAAUAUUAUACCAACUCCUAGUAUACUACUGGGCCAAUCUAUAAAAUUAUAGAAGCAAUAAUGCUAGUAUGAGUAACAAGAAAUAUUUCUCCUUGCAUAAGCCUAUAACAGUUACGGAUAACCACUGAUAGUUAACAACAAGAUAAGUAUAAACCACUGAUAAAUAUUUUAUCAAAUUAAUUGUUAACCCAACACAGGAAUGCAACCCCAAAGGAAAGAUUAAAAGAAGUAAAAGGAACUCGGCAAACAUAAACCCCGCCUGUUUACCAAAAACAUCACCUCUAGCAUAAUUAGUAUUAGAGGCACUGCCUGCCCAGUGACAUAAGUUUAACGGCCGCGGUAUCCUGACCGUGCAAAGGUAGCAUAAUCAUUUGUUCUCUAAAUAAGGACUCGUAUGAAUGGCCACACGAGGGUUUAACUGUCUCUUACUUCCAAUCAGUGAAAUUGACCUUCCCGUGAAGAGGCGGGGAUAUAUUAAUAAGACGAGAAGACCCUAUGGAGCUUUAAUUAAUUAAUUUAUAAUAAUACAAUAUUUAACCUAUCAGGCACAACAUCACAUUAUUAAUAAAUUAACAAUUUAGGUUGGGGUGACCUCGGAGCAUAAAAAAACCUCCGAGAAAAAAAAUCUAGACUCACUAGUCAAAAUACCAUUUAAACUACUGAUCCAAAAAAUUGAUCAACGGAACAAGUUACCCUAGGGAUAACAGCGCAAUCCUAUUCAAGAGUCCAUAUCGACAAUAGGGUUUACGACCUCGAUGUUGGAUCAGGACAUCCCAAUGGUGCAACAGCUAUUAAGGGUUCGUUUGUUCAACGAUUAAAGUCCUACGUGAUCUGAGUUCAGACCGGAGUAAUCCAGGUCGGUUUCUAUCUAUUAAAUAAUUUUCCCAGUACGAAAGGACAAGAAAAAUAAGGCCAACUCAAACACGAGCGCCUUCAGAUUAACAGAUGAUAUAAUCUUAAACUGAUAAAUCUACACUUAUACCAGCCCUAGAGAUAGGGCUU